GGAGAGGUGCCGGAGUGGUCGAACGGGAUGGUCUCGAAAACCAUUGUGGCUAUUAUGGUCACCGAGGGUUCGAAUCCCUCCCUCUCCGCCA
rnacentral:tRNA from 1 species